rfam:Gilliamella sp. N-G2 NODE_16, whole genome shotgun sequence.
AACAUUUAGAUUUAUGCAGUUUGUAGUUUACUUCGAUCACAUUUGUAUUAGUUUUCUUCAGUCUUGUCUUCUCUUUGUUAAUAAGUAGUCUAGGUUUUAUGUUUUUAAGUAUUGCCUUUUAUGGUAGAGAUUAAUUUAUUUAUAGGAAGAUUAUUAUGUCUAAAAAAACUGGUCAAGUUAAAUGGUUCAAUGAAAGUAAAGGUUUCGGUUUUAUUUCUCCUUCAGAUGGAAGUAAAGAUGUGUUUGUUCACUUCUCUGCGAUUUCUGGUGAUGGGUUUAAAACUCUAGGCGAAGGUCAACAAGUAGAAUUUUCUAUCCAAGAUAGUGCUCGUGGUCCAGCAGCUGCUGAUGUUACAAUCAUCUAACUGAUUGUUUAAUCUUACCAGUAAUUUUUUACUGGUAAGAUUC